rfam:Schistosoma mattheei strain Denwood, Zambia genome assembly, scaffold: SMTD_contig0009734
AUCCAGCUGACGAGUCCGAAACAGGACGAGACGUGCAU